rnacentral:rRNA from 1 species
GGCUCAGACGAACGCUGGCGGCGCGUUUAAGCAUGCAAGUCGAGCGGCAAGGGCCUUCGGGCCCUAGAGCGGCGGACGGGUGAGUAACACGUGGACAAUCUGCCCCCCGGCCCGGGAUAGCCCAGGGAAACCUGGAUUAAUACCGGAUGAGACGGGACCCGCGAUGGCGGGAUCCGGGAAAGGCGCUGCGGCGCCGCCGGGGGAUGAGUCUGCGUCCCAUUAGCUAGACGGCGGGUAACGGCCCACCGUGGCGACGAUGGGUAGCCGGCCUGAGAGGGUGGACGGCCACAUUGGAACUGAGACACGGUCCAGACUCCUACGGGAGGCAGCAGCUAAGAAUCUUCCGCAAUGGGCGAAAGCCUGACGGAAGCGACGCCGCGUGAACGAAGAAGGCCGUGAGGUUGUAAAGUUCUUUUCGGGAGGGGAACAACCGUGGCAGGGAAUGGCCGCGGGAUGACGUGAAUCCCGGAAUAAGCCCCGGCUAACUACGUGCCAGCCGCGGC